GAUGAACGCUGGCGGCGUGCCUAAUACAUGCAAGUCGAGCGAACAGACGAGGAGCUUGCUCCUCUGACGUUAGCGGCGGACGGGUGAGUAACACGUGGAUAACCUACCUAUAAGACUGGGAUAACUUCGGGAAACCGGAGCUAAUACCGGAUAAUAUAUUGAACCGCAUGGUUCAAUAGUGAAAGACGGCUUUGCUGUCACUUAUAGAUGGAUCCGCGCCGCAUUAGCUAGUUGGUAAGGUAACGGCUUACCAAGGCAACGAUGCGUAGCCGACCUGAGAGGGUGAUCGGCCACACGGGAACUGAGACACGGUCCAGACUCCUACGGGAGGCAGCAGUAGGGAAUCUUCCGCAAUGGGCGAAAGCCUGACGGAGCAACGCCGCGUGAGUGAUGAAGGUCUUCGGAUCGUAAAGCUCUGUUAUUAGGGAAGAACAAAUGUGUAAGUAACUAUGCACGUCUUGACGGUACCUAAUCAGAAAGCCACGGCUAACUACGUG
rnacentral:rRNA from 1 species